rnacentral:rRNA from 1 species
GAUAAACGCUGGCGGCGUGCGUAACACAUGCAAGUUGGGCGACGGAAGUUUGAACCAGUGAUGGGAAUGACUUUACGGAGCAGCGGACUGGUGAGUAAUAUAUGAGAAGCUGUCCAUCAGAGGGGGACAACAUCUGGAAACGGAUGCUAAUACCCCAUAGGCCGAAAGGUUAAAGCAGCAAUGCGCUGGUGGAGGUGCUCGUAUCCUAUCAAUUAGUUGGCGGGGUAACGGCCCACCAAGAUAACGACGGGUAGCCGGCCUGAGAGGGUGUCCGGCCACACUGGAACUGAGAUACGGUCCAGACUCC